CCUACGGGCGGCAGCAGUGAGGAAUAUUGGUCAAUGGGCGGGAGCCUGAACCAGCCAAGCCGCGUGAGGGAAGAAGGUACAGCGUAUUGUAAACCUCUUUUGUCAGGGAACAAAGGCUGGGACUAGUCCCCGGAUGAGGGUACCUGAAGAAAAAGCAUCGGCUAACUCCGUGCCAGCAGCCGCGGUAAUACGGAGGAUGCGAGCGUUAUCCGGAUUUAUUGGGUUUAAAGGGAGCGCAGGGGGCCUGUUAAGUCAGCGGUAAAAGCCCGGGGCUCAACCCCGGCGAGCCGUUGAAACUGGCGGGCUGGAGUUGGAGAGAAGUACGCGGAAUGCGCGGUGUAGCGGUGAAAUGCUUAGAUAUCGCGCAGAACCCCGAUUGCGAAGGCAGCGUACCGGCUCCACACUGACGCUGAGGCACGAAAGCGUGGGUAUCGAACAGGAUUAGAUACCCCGGUAGUC
rnacentral:rRNA from 1 species